UGGUGCUUGCAUCAUGAUUUACAUUUGAGUGAGUGGCGAACUGGUGAGUAACACGUGGGAAACCUGCCCAGAAGCGGGGGAUAACACCUGGAAACAGAUGCUAAUACCGCAUAACAACUUGGACCGCAUGGUCCGAGUUUGAAAGAUGGCUUCGGCUAUCACUUUUGGAUGGUCCCGCGGCGUAUUAGCUAGAUGGUGGGGUAACGGCUCACCAUGGCAAUGAUACGUAGCCGACCUGAGAGGGUAAUCGGCCACAUUGGGACUGAGACACGGCCCAAACUCCUACGGGAGGCAGCAGUAGGGAAUCUUCCACAAUGGACGAAAGUCUGAUGGAGCAACGCCGCGUGAGUGAAGAAGGGUUUCGGCUCGUAAAACUCUGUUGUUAAAGAAGAACAUAUCUGAGAGUAACUGUUCAGGUAUUGACGGUAUUUAACCAGAAAGCCACGGCUAACUACGUGCCAGCAGCCGCGGUAAUACGUAGGUGGCAAGCGUUGUCCGGAUUUAUUGGGCGUAAAGCGAGCGCAGGCGGUUUUUUAAGUCUGAUGUGAAAGCCUUCGGCUCAACCGAAGAAGUGCAUCGGAAACUGGGAAACUUGAGUGCAGAAGAGGACAGUGGAACUCCAUGUGUAGCGGUGAAAUGCGUAGAUAUAUGGAAGAACACCAGUGGCGAAGGCGGCUGUCUGGUCUGUAACUGACGCU
rnacentral:rRNA from 2 species